GGUAAAAUGGCUGAUAAAGGCGAUAAAUUGUAAAUUUAUUUAUGAAAAUUUUUCUUUUACCA
rnacentral:tRNA from 1 species